rnacentral:rRNA from 1 species
AGUGAACGCUGGCGGUAGGCCUAACACAUGCAAGUCGAACGGCAGCACAGUAAGAGCUUGCUCUUACGGGUGGCGGGUGGCGGACGGGUGAGGAAUACAUCGGAAUCUACUUUUUCGUGGGGGAUAACGUAGGGAAACUUACGCUAAUACCGCAUACGACCUACGGGUGAAAGCAGGGGAUCUUCGGACCUUGCGCGAUUGAAUGAGCCGAUGUCGGAUUAGCUAGUUGGCGGGGUAAAGGCCCACCAAGGCGACGAUCCGUAGCUGGUCUGAGAGGAUGAUCAGCCACACUGGAACUGAGACACGGUCCAAACUCCUACGGGAGGCAGCAGUGGGGAAUAUUGGACAAUGGGCGCAAGCCUGAUCCAGCCAUACCGCGUGGGUGAAGAAGGCCUUCGGGUUGUAAAGCCCUUUUGUUGGGAAAGAAAAGCAGCAGGUUAAUACCCCGCUGUUCUGACGGUACCCAAAGAAUAAGCACCGACUAACUUCGUG